UACGUAGGGGGCGAGCGUUGUCCGGAGUUACUGGGCGUAAAGGGCAUGCAGGCGGUCCGACACGUUUUGUGUGACAGCGGGUGGCUUAACUACCCGAGGAUACGAAAGACGGUUGGACUUGAGGACUCGAGAGGGACACGGAAUUCCGGGUGGAGUGGUGAAAUGCGUAGAGAUCGGAAAGAACACCAACGGCGAAAGCACUCUGCUGGGCCGACACUGACACUGAGAGACGAAAGCUAGGGGAGCGAAUGGG
rnacentral:rRNA from 1 species